UACGAAGGGGGCUAGCGUUGUUCGGAAUUAUUGGGCGUAAAGCGUGCGCAGGCGGCUUCUCAAGUCAGGGGUGAAAGCCCAGAGCUCAACUCUGGAAUUGCCUUUGAGACUGAGUGGCUUGAGUACGAGAGAGGUGAGUGGAAUUCCCAGUGUAGAGGUGAAAUUCGUAGAUAUUGGGAAGAACACCGGUGGCGAAGGCGGCUCACUGGCUCGUAACUGACGCUCAUGCACGACAGCGUGGGGAUCAAACAGG
rnacentral:rRNA from 1 species